rnacentral:lncRNA from 10 species
GGCGACUUCGUCGCCUGCGGAUCACGGAAGUGGCUGCGGUCGGCGCCAUGUUAUGUUGGGGCAGAAGGGACGGGGAACUUCCGGAUUGGAAGCCCCAAGGAUUCUGAGAGCCCCGCUAAUCUGGGGAUGACUCCUAGGAGUAGAAGACGGUCCAUCUUAGUUGUCACGAGUAUCUCACUUCUUGGAAUCCGGCGGCGUUCACGUGUGUGCUCCAGAGAAGGGCGCCAGAGGGUAUUCCCUGAAAGUGAAAGGUCGGCGAAAGAGGAGUAAAGACGGCGAGACGCGUCCACGCAGGGGGAGUCUGUGCGGUUUGGAGGAACGCGCCAAUGUCUGCACUCAUGAGGAGCCCCCAAGGGCGGUUUUAAGAGGGUGAAGCAGGACCGGGCGCAGUGACUUACGCCUGUAAUCUAAGUGCUUUGGAAGGCCUAGGCAGGAGGAUCUCGAGCCCAGGAGUUCGAGAUUAGCCUGAGACCUCAUCGCUACCAAAAUAAAUAAAGUCUUUAGAUAAUAACAACUCUUUCAACCAAGUGCCAAUCAGAAAAUCUUUGAAUCCAUCUAUGAACUUUCUCCCUAAAAGGUGUAAAACCGGCUGGGCGCAGUGGCUCACGUC